UACGUAGGGGGCAAGCGUUAUCCGGAUUUACUGGGUGUAAAGGGAGCGCAGACGGCUGAGUAAGUCUGAAGUGAAAGCCUGGGGCUCAACCCCGGAAUUGCUUUGGAAACUAUUUAGCUAGAGUGCAGGAGAGGUAAGUGGAAUUCCUAGUGUAGCGGUGAAAUGCGUAGAUAUUAGGAGGAACACCAGUGGCGAAGGCGGCUUACUGGACUGUAACUGACGUUGAGGCUCGAAAGCGUGGGGAGCAAAC
rnacentral:rRNA from 1 species